CCUUGCAGCAAUGUUCCAACGUCUAGUGGAAAGCCUUCCCAGAAGACUGGAGGCUGUUAUAGCUGCAAAGGGUGGACCACGCCAUAUAAAUGCACUUGAUGUUCGACGAGCAGGUGUCCACAUACGUUUGGCCAUGUAGUGUAUAUGUGAGUGGCUAUUUUUGUAUGAAAUUAUUAUUUUUGAUACCAACCGAAACAGAUUUGUUUUUUAUAUAUUCUAUCAAUUCUGAGUGAUGCUGUCCAUGAACCAGACACCUUUUUCCAGUCUCAUAUAUAUUUUCUCUUGUUUUACAGGAUACUAUUAUCUGUUGAUGUGGUCCUAAGCCUGUUACACCUAUAUGAGUUGCAUCACCAACACACGCACUACAAAUCAUUUAUUCAAAUUAGUCAUGGAUGUGUGUUUUGGAGGUGGAUGAGAACACAAUGUCUUUUCUUGAAUAAACUGACACAUAGUUUCCUAUUUGAUUUUAGGAGCAGCAUGGAGAGUUAAAUAAACCUUUUCAGAUGUCGUCAUGAUAAAUGUUUUUAAUGAAAUACACCAUCUUAACAUUUUAUUUGGCACACAUCUUUUUUUUCUCUUUUUUGCAGACCAUGUCUCCAAAGGAGAAGUCAACGUUUGAGGACUAGUGCUCCAAAGAGACCUCCAUCAGAGGUCUUUGUUUUCUGUGCUGAGCAGCACCCCAAGAUCCAAGCCCAACACCCAAGCCUUGGCAUUUGGGAUGUGGCCAAGAAGCUUGGAGAGAUGUGGAACAAUAUGACAGACUCCAAUAACCAGCCAUAUCUUGCCAAAACCAACAAACUCAAGGAAAAAUACAAUAAGGAUGUGGCAGGUUACAAAGGAGGAAAAGGAAAACUGGGCGGGGCAGGAGCCUCUAAAUUGAAGAAGGCGGAAGACGAAGACUAUGAUGAUGAGGAUGACUAAUAGAAAAGGGUAUUGUGGUUUGUUAAGACACUGGCCAUUUAGAUGUGAGCACACAUAUCUGUAGGUUUACACCUAGUUCAACUGUCCCAGAAGAAAACAUCAAAUUGGUUUUGAAACUGGUUUCUCACUGUAGUUUCUUUCUGGCUGUCAUUUUGAGUCUUUAACACUUUGCUCUCCAGUGUUUGUCUUGAUCCCUUAGCUUUUUUUGAAAAGCUGAACAAACCUAUUCACAGUGAUAGCAUAAGGGUUCAUACCCUAUACAAUGCUUGUAUGGUGAUGUGUAUGCUACUAUAUGGUUGUUGAAAUAGAUUUAGAUUUAAUUUUUCUCUUUUACAGGGAUCCACAUUUCAAGGAAUUGUAAGUUUGCGUUUGAGGGAAUUGUAUGUGUAUCUAGACACAAAAUCCAUAGACUUGAGGUAGGUGUCCAGUCUGACAAUCAGGUAUUCCGGUAACAUUGCCGUGGCCUAUUAUGCCAACCACCUGUGUGUUUGAGGCAGGACUGAUCCAUUUCAAUGUGUUGUGGCUGAAAGGAAUGAUGAUGAAAUGGGUUCUAUGUUUUCAUUGUUCUGUUGUUAAUUUGGAUAAGUGGAAUGACAUUUUAGAUCUUAACAUUUCUCCAUCUCUUGACCAGUGGUGACAAUACAUCUGUUGGACAAGGAGUUUUUCUUUGCACCUGCACAAUGUGUUUUGUAUGUCUCUGAUCUAAAUAAUAACGUUUUUUACGUUCUGUGUGGACCAAAUAGAUUUAUUCCCUCUAUGGAAAUGACUGAUUUUGUAUUUUUUGUGGUCUUUUUCUUUAGCGGUAAAUGUCAUAAACAUUAUGCUAUUUUGAUUUUACAUUGGAACAUUUAGCAGAUGCUCUUAUCCAUAGCAACUUGCACUACUGUUGUGACAGGCAUUCAUAUUUUAGUAGCAACGUUAAAACUCAUUAUUACACUUAAUAGGAACAUGUCACAAUUCUGAGAAUGUAAGAAUUUAGCUGCUUACAAUUUCUUAAAGAUAAGAAUACUUCUAUGCUUUGGGCCCUGAAAGUGCUCCCUGGAAAGCCACUAUCCUCAAUUGAAUCCUGGAUUUAAUCUUCAAGGUUAAUAAUACAUUUUUUAAAUAGCUCCUCUCAUUGAGUUUUGAGAAUAUAAUCUGCAAACCACCUUUCCCCACAUGCACUACACCAAAUACGAAAUAAAAAUAAUAUAAUACAAA